CCCCUAGCCCUAUCCCCUAUCCUUAUCCCCUAACCAUAUCCCCUAACCCUAUCCCCUAGGCCUAGGGGUUGGUUUGGGAUUCAGAGAAUGAUAACUGCCCUAACUAUCUCUAGGCUAGAACUGAUCCGACCUGCUCAUUAAGACAUGGAUGUAAUGAUAGUAUGACCAGGUCAUUACUAUCGCCACUGUGGUGAAACAAGUCAUUCUGAAAACAAAGAUGAAAUUCUAGAAUCAUGUUGCUUUCCGACUACGACAGUAAUGCAUUUAUUAAUUUGAUUUACUGAAUAGAUUCAAGUAUGUUUUUUUUGUUAGCUACACGCGUUAGCUACGUGUAUGCUACGUACGUUAGCUACGUGUUUGCUACGUGUGUUAGCUACGUGCGUUAGCUACGUGCGUUAGCUAUGUAUGUUAGCUACGUGUUUGCUACGUGCGUUAGCUACGUGUUUGCUACGUUUCUCCACUAUUUUGAGCAACAAAAAAAAUAAUCAAGAAAUAAAUUGUGUUGCAAUACACUUGAUUUGACAUGAAUUCAUAAUUAUCAUCACAUUGUUUAUUCUAAGCUAAUUUUAUUCAGAAGGUAAUUCCUGGUGGCAUAGUGGGUUUAACAACGGUGUGUAUUUGGUCAUAAAGGACAAGAUGUCAUAGAGCUACAAUAGGAUUGUAUCUCAUUGCAUACAGUUUUUGAGUGAAGAUAAACCACUCAAAUUAUUUUUUUUUUUUUUUUGCAUUAAAAUGACAUGAAUUCCUUCAAUGGAAUAUUUCAUAAAAAUAAUAAUAAAAACAACAACAACAUGGAUUGAGAGAAGGGGGGCUGGAGAGGUAGGGGUGUAAAUAAAGCUGGUAAAAUGUGCAAUAAAACUAUAGAUAUAAGGAAAUGUUCAUAUCAUCUGCGAGGUGGACACAACACAUACAUACAUAUAUAUAUAUAUAUAUAUAUAUAUGUAUAUAUAGAAAGGAAUAUUGAUAAGCGUUAUAGAUCUGUUAUCUCCCAACACAUGAUAGAUCUGUUAUCUCCCAACACAUAAUAUAUCUCAGUUAUCUCCCAACACAUAAUAUAUCUCUGUUAUCUCCCAACACAUGAUAGAUCUCAGUUAUCUCCCAACACAUGAUAGAUCUCAGUUAUCUCCCAACACAUAAUAUAUCUCAGUUAUCUCCCAACACAUAAUAUAUCUCUGUUAUCUCCCAACACAUGAUAGAUCUCAGUUAUCUCCCAACACAUGAUAGAUCUCAGUUAUCUCCCAACACAUGAUAGAUCUCAGUUAUCUCCCAACACAUGAUAGAUCUCAGUUAUCUCCCAACACAUGAUAGAUCUCAGUUAUCUCCCAACACAUGAUAGAUCUCAGUUAUCUCCCAACACAUGAUAGAUCUCAGUUAUCUCCCAAUAUGGCAUGACAAUAAUAAUAAAACACUGAAGAGCUGAGUUGCACGUUAACAGUGGAUCUUUCCCAAAUGGCACACUAUUCCCUAUAUAGUGCACUACGCUUUACCAAAUGUAGGUCAAAAGUAGUGCACUAUGUAGGGAAUAGUGUGCCAAUAGGGAAUGAACCAGUACAACUGAAGAGCUGCAUCAGUCUGGACGGCUCACAACAUCCUGCAGCUAAAUCAAGACAAGACCGAAGUAAUUCUGGUUGGAACUGAAGCACAGAGAGAAUCUGGACGCACAUUUUAACUCACAGUAAUAAAGAUAAAACACCAAGUAAAAAAAACUAGUUGUUAUUUUAGAUUCUGAACUCAAUUUCUAAUCACACAAUCAGGAAUGUGAACAAGAUAGCUUUUGACCACCUGAGGAACAUUGCCAAGGUGUGGCCGUUUCUCUCUCAGGCUGAAACAGAGAGACUCAUCGCUUUUAUUACAAGCAGACUUGAUUACUGUAAUGCUCUCCUGUCUGGUCUACCCAAGAAAGCCAUUGGUCAACUGUAAAACAUACAGAAUGCUGCAGGGUACUGACCAAGACCAGACGGAGAACACACAUGACACCGGUUUUAAGGUCUCUGUACUGUAAAACAUACAGAAUGCUGCAGCACGGGUACUGACCAAGACCAGACGGAGAACACACAUGACACCAGUUUUGAUUUAAGUUAUGUACCCAGUAGGUCCCUCAGGGCCUCUGGUCUUUUAACUAUCCCAAAGCCAAGCACCAAGAGGCAUGGAGAGACAGCCUUUUAACUAUCCCAAAGCCCAGGACCAAGAGGCAUGGAGAGACAGCCUUUUAACUAUCCCAAAGCCUGGGACCAAGAGGCAUGGAGAGACAGCCUUUAGUUACUAUGCCCCCAGCCUUUAGUUACUAUGCCCCCAGCCUUUAGUUACUAUGCCCCCAGCCUCUAGUUACUAUGCCUUUAGUUACUAUGCCUUUAGUUACUAUGCUCCCAGUCUCUAGUUACUAUGCCCCCAGCCUUUAGUUACUAUGCCCCUAGCCUUUAGUUACUAUGCCUUUAGUUACUAUGCCCCCAGCCUUUAGUUACUAUGCCCCUAGCCUUUAGUUACUAUGCC
ensembl:lncRNA